ensembl:lncRNA
CGGAUCCAAGAGCCGCUGUGUUUCCCUCUCUCGCCGCCCGUCCCCUCCUGAGAUACGUGCAUGACAAGGGCAGCUUUGUGCCUCCGGGCUCCGCUCCACGGCCGCGUGUUCCUGCAUCUAAAGGCCGUUCCGGUGGGAUCCCGGGCAGAGCUGCUCCACCCCCAACAAACUCACUGAGAUGUGUGGGCCUGAGGGCGACCACCAGGACAAGAACACUGCACUCCUUGGGGAUUUGCUUUGAUUUGGUUCGGUUUGUUGCCAUGAAACGGAGGGAUGUGGUGGGACUCCGUUGCUCCUUGCAGGUACUGGUGACCUUCUGGGUGGACAUGAACUUCUGAUCUUCCUCACCCAGCAACAAAAGUAGGGCUGAAGGUACCAAACCACAGCUCUCCGCUCCUCGAUGAUUGUGUGAGGAUUGAUCAUCCUCCUCUGUGUGAAACCUAAAUAAUUCAUCGGGGCAGGGAUCUAAGGAGAGACACUGGGCUUGCACAGGGCCUGCUGGAAAUUUUCCUACCACUCUGGGGAGCAGCAAUGAAGCGAUGAAAGAGGAAGAAUGUGAUAAAGAGAGAGAGCAUCAAGCCUGAGCCCCACUGCUGGGGUUUGGAGCAUUCCCACUCGGUGAGGGGAAAGCCAGCAAACAAACACAGCAACUACAAGCUGGCACGAAGCAGAAGGGCAGCAGCGGCUGCAGCCCUGAGCUGGCAUCAGGCAGUGCACCUCAGCGGCGGCAGCACAGUGCGGGUGUGCAGGGUGAGCCCCAACCCCUGGGCACUGCGAUGGGAGAGGCUCCGAGAGGAGAUGGCCCCGCAGCCGUUCACUUCCCCAGUCCUCAAUUCCUGCUUUCUCCCGGAAAGCCAAGACCAGCACGGCUCCUCGCAUUGCUUUGCAUCUGAACAAGGGCUUAAAUGUCCACACUGACUCAAUGCACGCUGGAACACUUCCAGAAAGUCAGCAAAUUUGCACUCCCUCUCCCUUUAAAUGCUUUGGCUUCCUGCAGGAAAAUGAAAUCCAUUAACAAGUUCCACCCCUGCUCCAAAUUCAAGGCUAGAACUGUCAAUGCUUUAGGAACGAGCUAAAUGGAGGGAUUUCCAUAACAAUCAACAGCUACAGCAUUAAUCUAUAGUCAUAUUAACCUGGGAUGACAAGGACACGUCUGUCUGUUCUCUCUAAUGUAAUCUACCAUUAUACUCGGACUCCAUUGAAGUCUGCUUUGUAGUAUGCAUUUGGCUGUGAUCAGCUAAUCUCUCUGGCUUUAAGCACAGCUUAGAAAAGACAGCGAGGGAGACAGACAGAGCAAAGCGAUGAAUAUGCAUGUGUGUGUGCUUAGCAUGUGUCUGCCUCUAAUGUAUGUGUGAGCAUGUGCAGCUGCACAUCGGGUCUGUGCCCUUGCUGCAUGUUGCAGGGCUGCACUGUGCCUGCAUUAUGCAUUUGCAAGGUGUCAAAGUGCACCUAAGGCAGAAAUGGGCAUUGCAUCGUGGUUGUCAG